UACGGGGGGGGCAAGCGUUGUUCGGAAUUACUGGGCGUAAAGGGCUCGUAGGCGGCCAACUAAGUCGGACGUGAAAUCCCUCGGCUUAACCGGGGAACUGCGUCCGAUACUGGAUGGCUCGAGUGUGGGAGAGGGAUGCGGAAUUCCAGGUGUAGCGGUGAAAUGCGUAGAUAUCUGGAGGAACACCGGUGGCGAAGGCGGCAUCCUGGACCACGACUGACGCUGAUGCGCGAAAGCGUGGGGAGCAAACAGG
rnacentral:rRNA from 1 species